UGUAGACAGUACAAAUAUUUAAAGUAAAGCAAAAAUACCAUACUUUCAGUUAUAUAUUUAUUAUAAAAUUACUAACAUCAAAAGACAAAAGGUGCCAUCAAAUCACACCUUACGGAAAUAUAAAGCAUGACUUUCAAUUGUUUACUUAUUACAAAAUUACGAACGUUAGAACACAAAGCAAGGUAUUGUGCAAACACAAAGACACGUUCAAUGAAAAGGUUAAACAAAAUUGUUCGAAUGCACAGUGAGAUUGUUUCGUCGGUAUUUUACCAGGAAUCCUCUGAUUCUUUUUUCACGUUUUUGUCGAAUCACCAGACAAAUACUUUUGUACUGGGACGUUUGCAUGAAGCUUUGGAUUGUUGGAGCUGGAACGUGUUUCGGAGGAUACACAAACUUGCAACAGAUUUUAUCGCCGAAAUAAAUUUUGCUUAAAAAGAUUUACGUUCAAAACCGCUAUUUCGCGUCACGGACUCUGGCCACCAAAGUAAUUGACGAUUCUAAUACUGUUUCACCUUGAACUUCUGCUCGCAUGGAGGUUUUAUAAUUUCAAAGUUCAAAUUACGCAAUCCUAUGGGUCUUUAGCUUUCUACUCAAGUGCGAGUUCAAGAAACCACGAUUAUUUUCGGAUCAUCCGAAAGUUGUACUUGUAUUUAGAUAUGUAUCUACGGCGGAGUCCCGCUACAUGGCCCUGGACCAGAAUGUAGGAGAGGAAAUUGUGCAGCAGGUCAAAUUUGCAGAUUCCGUCCUACGACGCGCACGACAAAGGCAUCCAAGAUACAGGCAGCCCGAUUGAAUUUCAAUACGCAGAAGCAGCGUAUGUUGUGCCGUUGCUGUUGGGCAAUGAAAGGCUUCCACGGGCUUGACGUUCGUUCGAUUGUCUUUCCACUUUCCAUUGUCUUCGAUCGGGCCAACGUUUACCUCGAAGCAUCAUCGAGAACCCUCUUCUUCUUCUUCUUCUUCCCGCGUUGCGUUCGAGCGUGUAACGGAAUUCUUAAUGCGUCACUCGAUGCGCAGGUUUCGAUCAUCGAAUCAACGGACAACGACAACGGGCUUUUCCCGUUUUCGACGACGAUGAUGGAUAGAUAAUGCAGCCCUGCCAACCACGAUAAUGACGUGCCUGAUAUUAUCGCGUUAUUUCACUCGCGAGGGAUUACUCAGGUUCCUUCUUUCUUUUUUUUCAUGCGAGGAUCAUUUGUGCUCACGGAGCGAAUUGAUGCGGCUGAUCAAUCAGCCAACGAUGAUUUUUGACAGCCACGCUUAAUAGCUUCCUUGUCGGGAUGUGGCGCGAUACUUUUUUCAGAGAGAAGAUUUGGCGUGAAAUGUAGUAUCAAGGAUAUACGAAUCCUCUGCCUUAUAUCGUGUAUGUGACGCAAAUGUUUGUUGAAAUGCGACAAUUUUCACCGUAAUGGAAUUUCUAGUUUAAUUUUCAUUUCAAGUUCACCAAUGAUCGCCAUACCCAGAGUAAUUCAGAUUUAAAAAAUAUUGAAUGGUGACCUUUCGAGUGGGUUAAGGUGUAAAUAAUAUACCCACACGUCUGUUCAAAUGAUCACAACCGGAAAUUUGAGUAUUAAGUUUUAUUAAAAUAAUUGCGAGCAGGAAAAUAAAUCGAGUAAUAAUAUUUCGCGAUUAUUUUUCAGCGGAAACGUAUUUAACAGGAUGUUCCUUCUUAAUAUUCAAACGCAGAGGAGGUGCGUUAAUAGGAAAGUGGUUUCCCAGGGAACAAAGAAACGAUUACACGCCGCAUUAUCGAGGCUCCAUCGUGUUAUGAAUUAUAAGCACUCGAAUAUACCGAAUGGUCGAUGAAAUUUUCAAUCGUACAUAACACAGUUUAUACGAUGGGCUUUUCAAUCAUACGUGACCACUAUUUUGAUGUCGCCCGCUAAAUUGUACGCUUCCGUUUCGAUUAGCUCGACUGUUUACCUUGUUCAGUGUGCACAGAAAAUUUUAAGCAUUGUAAUAAAUAUUCACGAGUUAUCUUCGAAGAUAUUUUUCUGCUGUAUAUUUACAUUACUUUUUUUAAUAAUAAAAGACCAUUUUAUAAUA